CCUAUUGGCAAGGCAAGGUCUAGGUGUGGUCACAUCUUGGAGAUGUAGUCACAUAUUGACAAGCCGGGAGAGUUGGGUGUCAAAGUCUUGAGAAAGUUGGUGGUUCAACCACUUUCUAAGUCACAUAGUGAGUUCCUUUGGGACACCUAUGAAACAGACUAUGACAAGACCCUUAAUGAUCUUAUCUAUUUGCUAAGAUCAACUUCCUAAAACUUUAUGGACAUUGACAAUGAUGACAUUGGAUAUCCAGUAAAGCAUUCUCUUCCCAAUGGAAAGGGAUCGGCUAUAGUCAACUCGGUUGACCAAAUGGUAAAGAGAAAAGCUAAGUCUGUGAUAGUCCUGUGUACCAUUAUCAAAGGGUCCAUAUGUUUGUAUUGCCAAAGAAAGGGCAUUGGUUGCGAAGCUGCCAAAUUUACCUAAGGAUGUUAAAGUCAAUAAGUUUGACUCUACUUCAGGUAAAAUCCACUAUCUAACUCUGUUAAGUUUCUAUUCUGAGAUUCUUGAUACAUGAUGUGACCGGGUCGCAUGGUGAUGGUUUAAGAAUCAAAGGAAAGUGAAGAAACUUAAAGGAAGAAUAUGCUGAAUCUGAUCGCAUAGAUGGAUUUCUAUCGCAUAGUUUGAAAAAUCGGAUUCUUGAGCUACUUCUUAGGAGUUAUGAGAUAUUGCUUAGGAAUAGAUAACAACAAGUUUUCAUAUGGAUUGUAAGGAUAGUUUUUCCGCAAAGUUUUAAAAUAAAAGGAAAUUUUUGAUUUUAUUUAUUUUAAAAUAUCCUUACAAUGGCAUCUGUGGAAAUUUUUGUUGCUUAUAAGAUUCCAUUAGUAGCAAGAGUGGAAGUAUGAAAUUGAUUCUUUCAUUUGUGGUAAUGUCUAAAUUUACCAAAUAAGGAAAGAUUCUCAUCACCCAAGUUUCAAUUGGACCGGAACUUGGAAUCAUGCAAGUUGUAUAGCAUGAUGAAUGAGAACUUUCAAGUUUUGGAAAAUUAAGACUAAUUACUUGUUCACAUGGAUGUGUGAGUCAAGUAAAGGACUUAGGGAUCGAGUACACAUUCUUGUGCACUGAUUAAGUCCACCACUAAAGAUCGAUAAGAAGAAUCAAAUAAGGCAGAAGGAUAAAAGUUUCUCAAAUCUGAAAAGAUGGGAGAGUACUUUAGUAUCAGUUUUGUGAUCAUCUUAAUGAUUAAGAAACCAUAUCAAAAUUAGUUCUCUAAGGAAAUCUUAGUGCAUUCUUAUGACUAAGAAGAGGAACUUGAAUUGUUGAAAUGGUUAAAUCAAGAAGAUGAGUCAUACUUCGUUCCAAUACAAGUCUUAGAGUCAUACUCCAAGAUUGUCAUUUGAGUGACAUGUCUUAAAGAAGGUUUAAAACACUUGUCAAAUGUAAGAGUAAAAGUUUUCUACUCUUGUACAUUUGAAAUUGGUAAGUUGUGAUGUUUUGGAUAAAACAAAGACCAACUUAGGCCAAUUGGGUAAAGUGUUUUUCUUGAUUAGAAUCCGCACUAUCUCUUGGAUGUUUGACAAGGGAGUCUUAUAUGUCAAGAGGACAGUGGGAGUCUUAAAGGUCUUGAAAGUCUCAAGAAAUAAUCAAGAAUAAAACCUAAAGUUCUUCACUAGCACACGACUUGAGGUUCAUAACCUAUCGUGUUGACAUAUUCUGUGCCCAUUCCAGUUAAAGUUGGUUUUGCAUAUGAGUUCUUAGAGUUCUCAAUUUGUUGCACAACAACUUGGAAGCAAUGGCAGGCCCUUGAGCUGCCAGGUGGCAAGAAGUUAAGAUUGAGUUCAAUCCAUAUGGUUUUGGAUUUGUCAUUAUCUUUGUCUUGUGAUUAUGGUUUGACAAAUUCAUAUGGGUAGGAACUCAUACACCAUAUAAAUCUAAGUGUCAUAAGGUUUCUCUCCGAUUCAUGAAAAUGAUGGUGAGGAAACGCUUUCACUAAGUAGAUUUUACGAAGAUAUCAAUUGUGUUAUUUGCAUUUUCAAAAGUCGUUAGUGGAGCGCGUGUGGUUAACCGGCACACUAACAUGGACUUGUGAGAAAUGGCAAAUGCCUAAGCAAUUGAGACCAUGAUUACGGUAUCCCUUUUCAUGGUUCUUGAAAUUGCUUAGACACACAGGUGAGCUAUCUACGGAAAGGGUGUAUGAAUCUAAAUUUCAGACUGUCCAGCUGAUUUCUGAGUACAUGUCAAAGCUAGUGGGAGCAUAAGUGUUAUGCUAAUAAUCAUCAUGUUAGUGGGAGCAUGAUAAUUAUGAUAAGUAUUGCAAGUUAGCAAUGUUAAUUAUAGAAAACAAAAGUUUCAAUUGGGAAAAAGUUGUUUUGCUAUAAUUAAGGGAGAGGAAAUUAUGCUUCAUCUCAAAUCUAUAAGCUUAGAUCGUGAGGUUUUAAUCAUUUAGUCAAGGAUAUAUAUGAAUUUCAUGUUGGAAUGGCUCAACAUAAGGAAAUUCUGUAUAUGGGUCCAUUAUUUGCGUUCUAAAAUUCGAUUAUGAUUACGGCAUCCCUUUUCAUAAUCUGAAUUAUGAGAACUUGGCAAAUUGAAAUGGAAAUAUUAUAGCAAAAGACUGGUUUAGUCUUUAUGUAAGACAUCAUGAAUCGUGUCCCAUAUGCUUCGGAUAUAGGAUCGAUUACAUGUGCUAUAUUCAUCCGUUCUAAAAUUUUCCAAAUGCCUGGGGCAUUAAGAAGGGAAAAGGUUUAGAACUGGAUAUGACUAAAAGGAUUAAACAAUUGUCGAGGACAAUCUAAGGUUUACCAAAGAUUGGUUACUCAAGGACAAUUGGAAGUAUAGUGAUAAUUCUGGAAGGACCAUAUUGACAUAAUCUGUAAGGAGGCAACUCUUGUUCAGAAGUGAUAGUCAAAAUGGAAUCUGGAAAUGUUUCAAAGUUAGAAUUUUCAAUCUGUGUAAGAUUAAGGAAACUUAAUGCAAGAAGGAUAUUUCCAAGGAGUUGAUCUCCUUUGGAAUACUCUGUAAUGAUUGUUGCCAAGUCUUUGUGACUUUGUGCAUAAUCAUUACAAGAGGAUCAAUGCAUAUAAGUUUAGAAUCUAACAGAUUUCAGUAAAUGGCAUGAAUUUGGAAUUCUUGCAUUUGCAGUAAGGAUUUGGGAGUGUGAAAAGAGAAUCAUUGAAGUUAUGUUCAAUUGAUCUAGUUCACAAAGUAAAGAUCAUAGACAAACAUAGUAUGCAUACUUGGUGUGUGGCAUGACUAGUGUUUAAGAAAACAUAGUGUACAUGCUUGGAGCAUGGGACAACUAUUGUUUUAAAUUCAAGAAUAAAGUUGAUAGCUGAAACAGUAUACAAUGAAUAAUGUGUAAUCAUAUGGUGAUAAAUAAAAGGUGUUUUAUUUAUGUUCAAAGGGUUGAUACCAUAUUGGAUUCAAUUAUUAUUGUGUUUCAUUUUGCAUGUUUUGACUUCCCGAAUAAACUGGGUUAUUCUUCCGGAAUGACUAAGUUAUUCAAACCAUCCACAGUCGGUCAUAUGUUGGAAGUAGAUAUGAAUUAAGACUGUCAUGGGUUGGCUUGUAGAGGUCUAAGGUGUUGGACAAAGGGCUACAACACUCAUGAGUGCUCAUAAGUUCUGAGUAUUGGAUUCAACCCGCGCUCAUUGGAAUCACUUCAUGGAUUUUAUCACGAGUGAUCAUGAGACGAUAAUAUCUUAUAUUCUUCAAACCUAGAGAUAUGAGUUGUUACUAUGAGUUGAUAGUACAUUGAUUGCACGAAAACGCAUUUGGUAACUCGGUGCUAUAAAACGUGCCUUUGUGUAUGAUUCAACAAGUAGUAGAACAAGCCAUAUGAGUCGAAGUUUAUCCAUUCCUUUUACCUUCGGGAUAAAAGCGAUAUCUGUGGGCCCCUCGAUGAUUUGAUGAUGACAAAUGGAAGUGCUCGGCCGGGCCAGGACUGAUUUGAUUUGUUCAAUUAGUCAGUCGUCAUAAAUCGGAAAUCGGGAAACAACAAAUGGACAGAGAGAAUGAUUAUAAUCCAUGUCUCAGUCCAUAUGAUAUCUAGAAUGGAGGAAUAUAUGAUCCCUUAUCUAAUGGACAAGUCAUUGACAAAGGUCAGAGUUCAUCUACAAGGUCAGAGUUCGACAGAAGCUUUUGAGAGCUACGAUUGCCAGUUGGUUCCUGAAGUCAUACGCAAUAAUAGUUUUAGACUUAUCCAAGUGGGAGACUGUUGGAUUAAUGUCUAAGUCCAUAACUAUAAUUGGUAAGACUUGACCCGACCCGGCAUGGUCCAUUUGGGUUGCAUACCAUCAUGCACUUGGAUAGACUAUAAUGAGAGAAAUAAGACACUUAUGGUUAUUAAUAUAUUAUAAGUUCUAGUAUAUUAAUAAUAAGAAUAAUAAGAUUAUUUAAUUAGUAUUGAUCAAGAAUUAAUCUAGGAUUAAUUAAGUGAUCAAAAGAAGACUAAUUAAAUAUAUGGGUUGAUUGUGUAAAUCAUCCAUACUUGUAUAGUGGGCUAAUGCUCCAUGGAUAAUCAAGUUGGGCUAAAACCCAUAGGAUGGUCCAUGGAUGCUCCAUGGUGUAUUUGUACCCAUGGAUCCAAGGAAAUGGAAAGCCAUGACAAUUAAGAGUUUACCCUAAUUGUGUAACUAUAUAAGCAUCUUAUUAUUGAGGAAAAAUCGGCCACUAGUGAUAGUGAAGAAAGGGCUAGCCGAUUUUGAAGAGUGUAGAAUUCUCUCAAGUCAUUCCAAGUGUUUUGAUGAUUGUGAUUCCAUUUGAGGUGUCACACUUGGGGCACUAGGCACUCAAGCUUCAUGAAGACUUUCUACAUCAAAGAGGUAUGUAUUCUAUCUUGUUAUAGUCAUUGUUUUGUAUGCUAGAUUAGGAUAAUACCUUGGAAGUUCUUAUUUGCAUGUAUAAUAGAGAAAACAUAGAUCCAAGGUAUUUAGGGUUGCAUGUACACUUAGGAGUGUUAGAAUGCUCAAAACCCAACAGUGGUAUCAGAGCCUAGGCUUGUUUUCUUGUUAUACCUGCAAUAGAAGCUGAAAAAACGAAUCUGGUGCUGUCUGGCCAUCAGACUCGGCGAGUCCAUCAGGAGACUCGACGAGUCCAUGCCUAAAAAGUGAUGAAUUCGAUCCAACUCGCCGAGUUUGUUCAUGCACUCGACGAGUUGGACCCCCAGACAGCAUAUUUUCGAGUUUUUUGGCUAGAAAUGGACUAGGAACAUUACCCUAAGUUGUUUUUGAACUUAUAAACUUGUUUUUGAUGUGGUAAUGUUCAUGCUAAUCCAUUUUCAAAGAUAAUUGUCAAUAGAUUCAUGUUUUGUAUUAGUUUAAGGUUUAGACUAAUUACAUGAAAAAGUUUGAUUUGAAUUAUCUUGUUCUUAUGAGUUGCUUAGAUUAAUAGAAAUGUUGAGUGAAAUAGUUGUUUUCAAUCCAUUUUAAUCUAAGAGUUGAGUAUAAAAUGUGUUUGUGUAACUUGUCCUCAAGUUACAUGAAGAGUCACAUUAAAGACUCAUAAAACUCAUAAAAGUUGGCAAUGGUUACAAAAUGAAGAGUCUUGUGUCAUUGAAUAAUUUUUUUUGACUCCAUAACUUGUCCUCAAGUUAUGGAAGUUCAAGAGUCACUUCAUUAAAGAAAAAUAUGUAACCAUAAUUAAAUCCAUAAGUUAUAAAAUAAAGAAAAAGUUAGUUCUUUUAUUAGUUUAAAGUCUUCCAUAACUUGUCCUCAAGUUAUGGAACUUGAAGAGUUUUUGGAUUAAAACUACUUUAAACACAUAAGUUAUGGAAUUAAUUAGUUUUGAAUAGUUUCAAAACUUGCCCUCAAGUUUUGGAAUUUGAAAAGUUUUCAAGUAUGAAUACUUUAAUUCCAAGUUAGCCCUUAGAAUUUUAAAAGUUAAAAUUCAACCCUUAUACUUUAUAAUAUUAUAAGUUAAUAAUAUAUAUAUGUAUAAGAGUAAAGUCAGUCUUACCGCUAGUACGCCUCAUUCACGAAGCCGGUCUAUAAGGUGGGUAUAAGGUUGUUGCCUAUAAAAUGGCAACUUAAUGGGUGUCCACUCUCACCCACCGCUUGCUUGACUGGUGGAGGGUCGUUAGCCGAACGGGUUUGACAGGACUAGAAUUCUCCCUUCAUUAAAAGUAUUAAUGAUAAUACUAAGUAACUAAACUCUUAAUAAUACCCAAUCUUAGUUACUUAGGAAAAAUGUGAAUAAGGUGCUAAUCCAUGAAAUUACACUUUACACUUUGUCUAAGUCGUUAGUGGAGCGUGUGUGGUUAACCGGCACACUAACUUGGACUUAACAAGGUAGGUAAAGGGUGACUUAAUAUUUAUCAUAGUAUCGAUGGAGCGUGUGUGGUUAACCGGCACAUCGAUUGAGGGGUAAUUUAUUAAGGGUACCAAGUGAUUUGCAUGGUUACUUCACACCUUGUUUUGUGAUCCUCGGCAUCCCAGUCACAAAACCUGAAGGGCACACUCGAGAUUGAAACAUGCCUUUGAAAAGUUCAAUGAAUCUCAAAGAUCUAGGAGUUUCAAAACCAAUUAAAACCUAAUAAUACAUUUCGUUUAUCUUGGUGGAAAUUGGUGAAUCGUCAUUCACCUACCUUCAAAUAUUUUAUAGCUUGGAUUACGGCAUACCUCUUCUAAGUUAUAAAAUAGUUUGUUGGGUCCUAGCCUUAAUAUUUCAUAUUGGGUGUCAUAUUAAGGACUUUAAAUCAACUAUCUUGAAUAUCUCCCAAAACAUGUCUGGUUUAGACAUUUAUGAUCUUCCCAAAUCUCUUGAAACAAGCUUUCCUAAAUGAAGAUGAUGUUCCAUGGAAAUCAUACUUCUUUCACCUCCUCCAAUUAUUCUCCCUACCCCACAAGUUCUUAAAAAGGUUAAGGUCACUCGAACCCUAUUGGCAAGUGAAGGUCUAGGUGUGGUCACAUCUUGGAGAUGUAGUCACAUAUUGACAAGCCGGGAGAGUUGGGUGUCAAAGUCUUGAGAAAGUUGGUGGUUCAACUACUUUCUAAGUCAUAUAGUGAGUUCUUUUGGAACACCUAUGAAACAGACUAUGACAAGACCCUUAAUGAUCUUAUCUAUUUGUUAAGAUCAACUUCCUAAAACUUAAUGGACAUUGACAAUAAUGACAUUGGAUAUCUAGUAAAGCAUUCUCUUCCCAAUGGAAAGGGAUCGGCCAUAGUCAACUCGGUUGACCAAAUGGUAAAGAGAAAAGCUAAGUCUGUGAUAGUCUCGUGUACCAUUAUCAAAGGGUCCAUAUGUUUAUAUUGCCAAAGGAAGGGGCAUUGGUUGCGAAGCUGCCAAAUUUACCUAAGGCCUUGGCCUUGAAAGGAAUAGGGUUUAGACCCUAUUGUAUGUUAAUAAUAUUGAUUGUGUGAUCCAAGCCUUUGGUUUGUGUUUUGGAGUUAAAGGGUAAAAUGGGAAAAGUGAUGUUUUGGACUGCUUUCAUGAAUUAAGUAUUUUAGUUUCGUAUUUUUUAAGUCAAAAGUAAUUAGAUAGAACCGUGGGGCUUUUCAAUACCUUUCCAUGCAUAUAAAGAACGCCAAAAACAGAGUGUAAUGGGUUUUAAUGAAUUACACAGGGUGUAAUUUAUGUUACGCACGACGUAAUCUAGGCAAAUCAAAACCCUAAAUCUUCAGUUUUGAGCCCUGCUUAACGGCUCUAACUUAUGGGAAACCCUCUCAUUACUAGCCUCCAUCACCUAAGAUCAUUCCUUGAGGAACCCUAGCCUCAUUUCACUUAUUUUUGAGCAUUGGCAUCAUUUAUGAGCUUAUUUCUCCAUUGGAAGGUUGAAUCUUGAAGAGCAAGGUGGUGGCAAAGUGUAUGGAGGAAAAGUUCAAGUAGAGAUCCAACAAGGUUACAUCAUUCAUGAACCAUUCUGAGUGAAAAACUUCUAACUGGCUCACGGAUUUCAUAGAUCUAGCUAUUUGUCAUAUUUGCC
rnacentral:lncRNA from 1 species